CCUACGGGGGGCUGCAGUAGGGAAUUUUCGGCAAUGGGGGGAACCCUGACCGAGCAACGCCGCGUGAACGAAGAAGUUAUUCGUAAUGUAAAGUUCUUUUAACAGGGAAGAAAGAGAAAUUUGACGGUACCUGAAGAAUAAGCUCCGGCAAACUACGUGCCAGCAGCCGCGGUAAUACGUAGGGAGCGAGCGUGAUCCGGAAUUAUUGGGCGUAAAGGGUGCGUAGAUGGCAUAGUAAGUCUUUUGGAAAAAAGCUGGGCUCAAACCAGUAGGGCAAAAGAUACUGCAAAGCUAGAGUAUGAGAGAGGAAAGUGGAACUACAUGUGUAGCGGUGAAAUGCGUAGAUAUAAGGAAGAACACCAGUGGCGAAGGCGGCUUGCUGGGUCGAUACUGACAUUGAGGCACGAAAGCGUGGGGAGCAAACAGGAUUAGAUACCCGAGUAGUC
rnacentral:rRNA from 1 species